rnacentral:rRNA from 1 species
UUUGGGCUAAGUCCCGCAACGAGCGCAACCCUUAUCCUUUGUUGCCAGCACAUUAUGGUGGGAACUCAAAGGAGACUGCCGGUGAUAAACCGGAGGAAGGUGGGGAUGACGUCAAGUCAUCAUGGCCCUUACGAGUAGGGCUACACACGUGCUACAAUGGCGUAUACAAAGAGAAGCGACCUCGCGAGAGCAAGCGGAACUCAUAAAGUACGUCGUAGUCCGGAUUGGAGUCUGCAACUCGACUUCAUGAAGUCGGAAUCGCUAGUAAUCGUAGAUCAGAAUGCUACGGUGGAUACGUUCCCGGGCCUUGUACACACCGCCCGUCACACCAUGGGAGUGGGUUGCAAAAGAAGUAGGUAGCUUAACCUUCGGGAGGGCGCUUACCACUUUGUGAUUCAUGACUGGGGUGAAGUCGUAACAAGGUAACCA